rnacentral:rRNA from 1 species
AAAAAUAUUCAACGAUGGAUAUCUUGGUUCCCAUAUCGAUGAAGAACGCAGCGAAAUGCGAUACGCAAUGCGAAUUGCAGAAACCGCGAGUCAUCAGAUCUUUGAACGCAAAUGGCGCCAACUAACAAUUGGCAUGUUUGACUCAGUGU